rnacentral:lncRNA from 1 species
GCUGAAUGUGGCAAAGUAUGAGAUGAUUCUGUUCCAUUUCCAAAAACUCCAGCAUUCAAGAACCUGAAGAAAAUAAAUCAUAAUAUUCAUCAACAUCACAUUUUUAACUAAAAUUCUACUAACAUGUAUCAUGAGCACAAAUUUGAUUAUAAAAAAAAAUACUGAUUUAUAAUAUUUUUAUAUGUGACACUAUAAAAUACAUAUCUGACAAGAGAUGGCACAUGGGAACUAACAUUACAUCUUAAAAAGUUGAACAAUCUGUCUCAUAUAUUUUUGUGAUGAAAACACAAGAUACUAUAGUUUUAUUUAUUCAAAAUAAAGAUUUCUUACUAGAAUUAUUUAUUCACAUAUAAAUGAAGAAAACCAAUUUGAAAAAAAUUACUUACUAACGUCCAAGUUGAUAAAAAAACAAAAAUUGAAGGAAGUAAAAUGACUAAAAUCUCCCUCACCUACCACCCAGUCACUAACUUUUCCCAAACCCCACAUGCACAAAUCAAUAGGGUGGUUCAACUUGUAUAAUUAAAUACAUAGCUUUCAAUAAUCAAAUUUUACUAUGAUAAUUCGAAAUUAAAUAAAUAAAUUGCUAUUUAUUAAAAAAGAAUUUUUACGCUAUCAAAUCAAAUAAUUGUAGUAAACUUAACACUACUAUUAGAUCACAUGAAGAAAAACUAUAGAUAUAUAUCAUAAUUGACAUAACAAACUAUAAAUACGAAAAAAAUAUAAAAAUUCUUUACGUUAUCGAGUGUAUAUAUAUAUAAAAAAAAAAUUUACCUG